rnacentral:rRNA from 1 species
GCUGCAUGGCUGCCGUCAGCUCGUGUCGUGAGAUGUUGGGUUAAGUCCGCAACGAGCGCAACCCCUAUCUUUAGUUGCCAUCAUUGAGUUGGGCACUCUAAAGAGACUGCCGUUGACAAAACGGAGGAAGGUGGGGAUGACGUCAAAUCAUCAUGCCCCUUAUGUUCUGGGCUACACACGUGCUACAAUGGCCGGUACAGACGGACGCAAAGCCGCGAGGUGGAGCAAAUCCUAAAAAGCCGGUCUCAGUUCGGAUUGCAGGCUGCAAUUCGCCUGCAUGAAGUCGGAAUCGCUAGUAAUCGCAGGUCAGCAUACUGCGGUGAAUACGUUCCCGGGCCUU